rnacentral:lncRNA from 1 species
UUUUUUUUUUUUUUUUGCCAUUAAAAGUAAUUACUUUUAGGCCGGGUGCGGUGCGCCUGUAAUCUCAGCAUUUUGGGAGGCCAAGGUGGGUGGAUCACCUGAGAUCAGGAGAUCGAGAUCAGCCUGGCCAACAUGGUGAAACCCUGUCUCUACCAAAAAAAAAAUAUAAAAAAAAUUAGCCAGGCAUGGUGGCAGGUGCCUGUAAUCCCAGCUACCUGGGAGGCUGAGGCAGGAGAAUUGCUUGAACCCAGGAGGCGGAGGUUUCAGUGAGCUGAGACCGUGCCAUUACAUUGGUUGGGAAGGGAACCUCAGCACUGGGGUCCUCACUGGGGGAGGAGUUAUGUGAGGGGCGUCAAGAGUACUCCUCUGACUCUGAGCCACUGUGUGAGCUCUUGCCAGCCACUUAGCCUCUCUGG